AUAUUUUUUUCUCGCGGAUACAUGUAAGAAACAAAAAUCACAAUUGAGUUCUCUUACUUUUAUUAAUUUUAUUAACAUAGUUUAGUACUUGUGAUUGUUUAACGAACACCAACUGUUCGACAAAUUGUCUCUGUAAAAGAUUGUAACUUUUUUAUAACCAAAAUCAAGAUUCUGAAAUCUGAUCAGCAGAUAUGGAGACCAGUAAAGAGGGAAAUGCAGUUUUUCUCGAUCGUACUUCUCGUGCUACUAGAGGCAAACGGAUGACUAAAUUGUUGGAUGAUGAGGUAGAAGAGGAUGAACUUUUCUGGAAUCAGGAAGCUCUUAAAGAUGAAGAGAAUGACAUUGAAUAUGAAGAGGAAGGGGAAGCUGUGGAUGUUUUCGACAGUGACUUUGAUGAAGAUGAACCCGAGCCUGAUGAAGAAGGAGAAAAUGAACCCGAUGACAGGACACAGACCAAAAAGCGAUUGACCUAUCCAGGAAGACCGCCUGCAAAGAAGAAAAAGAAAAUGAAAGCCCUUACCAAGACAGAAAAGGCACACCAAGAAAAUGAAGAAGCUCCAGAUCCGUCCACCCCUUCUGAACAUCAUGGUGCUCAUGAUGAUACUGAAGCAGAAAGAACAAUUAGGAAAUCAACAAGAACGGCUGUCGUUGUAAAACAAGCUGAAAGGGAAGCCAUUCGUGCAGCCUUGCAGGCAACAACAAAGCCUAUAAAAAGAAAAAAGGAAGGCGAGGAAAAGAAGAUGACUCAAGAAGAGAUGCUUCUUGAAGCAGCUCAAACAGAGGUCAUGAAUCUGAGGAAUUUGGAGCGGGUUCUAGCAAGGGAAGAGGAAGUCAAGAAAAAGGCCAUUGUGCAUAAAGCAGUUUACAAUGGUCCUCAGAUACGAUAUAUAUCCAAAAACGGUUCUUCCUACCUAGAGUUUGUCAAUGGAGCGUCUUUCGGUUCACAGAUCACAACAACAUCCACUCCAUGUAAUUACAAGUUUGCUAUAUCCUGUUCCUCUCAGUUACAUUUCCCUAACAAUCGGCUUCAUAGACCCCCAGAAGGCAGUGUGUGUGGUUACUGGGCUGCCUGCACGGUAUCGUGACCCGAAAACUGGGCUUCCUUAUGCAACUAAAGAAGCAUUUAAGAUCAUACGCGAACGGUUUGCUGAGGAAAGAAGCAGGGCUCGGGAGGAAAAGCAUAUGGACGAGUUGUCUCAGGCGAUUUCUGGGCUAGGAUUUACCUCGAAACGAAAGAGGUCCAUUCCAAAUAAUAGAAAAACGUCAUAUACCCCGCGAGUAUUUGAUCGUUUCCGCAAGUUUCCUGCUGAUGACUCCAUGUCUGAGGAUUCAGAGUAGUCACUAUGUACAAUUUGAUCCUCUUUAUUUUUAGCCUAGGUUUGUAGAAAUGCAGAAGGUAGUAUUUUUUUUCUCUUGAUUAGCUUGUAUAAUCAGUUUUAGUCUUCUAGAGUUUUAAAUGACAUUUAUAUGGCACGAGCUGUAAAAGCGUAAGAGCUAUUUAUAUAGAACCGCCUUCAGGCGAUUCUCACAUCUUCCGAUCCUCUACUUAGUUGCUUUUGAUUACAUCGAAAAAAUGAAGGACCACUUGGCAUGUAA